GGGUUGUGAGGUUAAGCGACUAAGCGUACACGGUGGAUGCCCUGGCAGUCAGAGGCGAUGAAGGACGUGCUAAUCUGCGAUAAGCGUCGGUAAGGUGAUAUGAACCGUUAUAACCGGCGAUUUCCGAAUGGGGAAACCCAGUGUGUUUCGACACACUAUCAUUAACUGAAUCCAUAGGUUAAUGAGGCGAACCGGGGGAACUGAAACAUCUAAGUACCCCGAGGAAAAGAAAUCAACCGAGAUUCCCCCAGUAGCGGCGAGCGAACGGGGAGCAGCCCAGAGCCUGAAUCAGUGUGUGUGUUAGUGGAAGCGUCUGGAAAGGCGCGCGAUACAGGGUGACAGCCCCGUACACAAAAAUGCACAUGCUGUGAGCUCGAUGAGUAGGGCGGGACACGUGGUAUCCUGUCUGAAUAUGGGGGGACCAUCCUCCAAGGCUAAAUACUCCUGACUGACCGAUAGUGAACCAGUACCGUGAGGGAAAGGCGAAAAGAACCCCGGCGAGGGGAGUGAAAAAGAACCUGAAACCGUGUACGUACAAGCAGUGGGAGCACGCUUAGGCGUGUGACUGCGUACCUUUUGUAUAAUGGGUCAGCGACUUAUAUUCUGUAGCAAGGUUAACCGAAUAGGGGAGCCGAAGGGAAACCGAGUCUUAACUGGGCGUUAAGUUGCAGGGUAUAGACCCGAAACCCGGUGAUCUAGCCAUGGGCAGGUUGAAGGUUGGGUAACACUAACUGGAGGACCGAACCGACUAAUGUUGAAAAAUUAGCGGAUGACUUGUGGCUGGGGGUGAAAGGCCAAUCAAACCGGGAGAUAGCUGGUUCUCCCCGAAAGCUAUUUAGGUAGCGCCUCGUGAAUUCAUCUCCGGGGGUAGAGCACUGUUUCGGCAAGGGGGUCAUCCCGACUUACCAACCCGAUGCAAACUGCGAAUACCGGAGAAUGUUAUCACGGGAGACACACGGCGGGUGCUAACGUCCGUCGUGAAGAGGGAAACAACCCAGACCGCCAGCUAAGGUCCCAAAGUCAUGGUUAAGUGGGAAACGAUGUGGGAAGGCCCAGACAGCCAGGAUGUUGGCUUAGAAGCAGCCAUCAUUUAAAGAAAGCGUAAUAGCUCACUGGUCGAGUCGGCCUGCGCGGAAGAUGUAACGGGGCUAAACCAUGCACCGAAGCUGCGGCAGCGACGCUUAUGCGUUGUUGGGUAGGGGAGCGUUCUGUAAGCCUGUGAAGGUGUGCUGUGAGGCAUGCUGGAGGUAUCAGAAGUGCGAAUGCUGACAUAAGUAACGAUAAAGCGGGUGAAAAGCCCGCUCGCCGGAAGACCAAGGGUUCCUGUCCAACGUUAAUCGGGGCAGGGUGAGUCGACCCCUAAGGCGAGGCCGAAAGGCGUAGUCGAUGGGAAACAGGUUAAUAUUCCUGUACUUGGUGUUACUGCGAAGGGGGGACGGAGAAGGCUAUGUUGGCCGGGCGACGGUUGUCCCGGUUUAAGCGUGUAGGCUGGUUUUCCAGGCAAAUCCGGAAAAUCAAGGCUGAGGCGUGAUGACGAGGCACUACGGUGCUGAAGCAACAAAUGCCCUGCUUCCAGGAAAAGCCUCUAAGCAUCAGGUAACAUCAAAUCGUACCCCAAACCGACACAGGUGGUCAGGUAGAGAAUACCAAGGCGCUUGAGAGAACUCGGGUGAAGGAACUAGGCAAAAUGGUGCCGUAACUUCGGGAGAAGGCACGCUGAUAUGUAGGUGAAGUCCCUCGCGGAUGGAGCUGAAAUCAGUCGAAGAUACCAGCUGGCUGCAACUGUUUAUUAAAAACACAGCACUGUGCAAACACGAAAGUGGACGUAUACGGUGUGACGCCUGCCCGGUGCCGGAAGGUUAAUUGAUGGGGUUAGCCGCAAGGCGAAGCUCUUGAUCGAAGCCCCGGUAAACGGCGGCCGUAACUAUAACGGUCCUAAGGUAGCGAAAUUCCUUGUCGGGUAAGUUCCGACCUGCACGAAUGGCGUAAUGAUGGCCAGGCUGUCUCCACCCGAGACUCAGUGAAAUUGAACUCGCUGUGAAGAUGCAGUGUACCCGCGGCAAGACGGAAAGACCCCGUGAACCUUUACUAUAGCUUGACACUGAACAUUGAGCCUUGAUGUGUAGGAUAGGUGGGAGGCUUAGAAGUGUGGACGCCAGUCUGCAUGGAGCCGACCUUGAAAUACCACCCUUUAAUGUUUGAUGUUCUAACGUUGACCCGUAAUCCGGGUUGCGGACAGUGUCUGGUGGGUAGUUUGACUGGGGCGGUCUCCUCCUAAAGAGUAACGGAGGAGCACGAAGGUUGGCUAAUCCUGGUCGGACAUCAGGAGGUUAGUGCAAUGGCAUAAGCCAGCUUGACUGCGAGCGUGACGGCGCGAGCAGGUGCGAAAGCAGGUCAUAGUGAUCCGGUGGUUCUGAAUGGAAGGGCCAUCGCUCAACGGAUAAAAGGUACUCCGGGGAUAACAGGCUGAUACCGCCCAAGAGUUCAUAUCGACGGCGGUGUUUGGCACCUCGAUGUCGGCUCAUCACAUCCUGGGGCUGAAGUAGGUCCCAAGGGUAUGGCUGUUCGCCAUUUAAAGUGGUACGCGAGCUGGGUUUAGAACGUCGUGAGACAGUUCGGUCCCUAUCUGCCGUGGGCGCUGGAGAACUGAGGAGGGCUGCUCCUAGUACGAGAGGACCGGAGUGGACGCAUCACUGGUGUUCGGGUUGUCAUGCCAAUGGCACUGCCCGGUAGCUAAAUGCGGAAGAGAUAAGUGCUGAAAGCAUCUAAGCACGAAACUUGCCCCGAGAUGAGUUCUCCCUGACUCCUUGAGAGUCCUGAAGGAACGUUGAAGACGACGACGUUGAUAGGCCGGGUGUGUAAGCGCAGCGAUGCGUUGAGCUAACCGGUACUAAUGAACCGUGAGGCUUAACCUUACAACGCCGAAGGUGUUU
rnacentral:rRNA from 1 species